AUGAUUUGUAUAAGUUGGAACUGCCGGGGGCUUGGGAACCCCGAGGCAGUUCGCGAGCUUCGCAGUGUUGCGAAGAAGGAAGGGCCUACCCUUGUCUUUGUCAUGGAAACAAAGAUAAGGGGGAAGAAGGUGGAAAACUUGCAACGUACUUUGGGCUUUGCUGGUAGCUUCGGUGUGGACAGCGAGGGAUUGAGUGGUGGCAUUGGAUUGUUUUGGUCAAGAGAUGUCAUUGUCAGCCUGAAGAAUUACAGCAAUAGCCAUAUUGAUAUCACCGUUUAG
rnacentral:rRNA from 1 species